AUGAACGCUGGCGGCGUGCUUAACACAUGCCAGUCGCACGGAAAGGCUCCUGCUUGCAGGGGUACUCGAGUGGCGAACGGGUGAGUAACACGUGGGUGAUCUGCCCUGCACUUCGGGAUAAGCCUGGGAAACUGGGUCUAAUACCGGAUAGGACCAUCGUUUAGUGUCGGUGGUGGAAAGUUUUUUCGGUGUGGGAUGAGCUCGCGGCCUAUCAGCUUGUUGGUGGGGUAAUGGCCUACCAAGGCGUCGACGGGUAGCCGGCCUGAGAGGGUGUACGGCCACAUUGGGACUGAGAUACGGCCCAGACUCCUACGGGAGGCAGCAGUGGGGAAUAUUGCACAAUGGGCGCAAGCCUGAUGCAGCGACGCCGCGUGGGGGAUGACGGCCUUCGGGUUGUAAACUCCUUUCGCCAGGGACGAAGCGAAAGUGACGGUACCUGGAUAAGAAGCACCGGCUAACUACGUG
rnacentral:rRNA from 1 species